rnacentral:rRNA from 1 species
AUUGAACGCUGGCGGAAUGCUUUACACAUGCAAGUCGAACGGCAGCACGGGGGCAACCCUGGUGGCGAGUGGCGAACGGGUGAGUAAUACAUCGGAACGUGCCCAGUCGUGGGGGAUAACGCAGCGAAAGCUGUGCUAAUACCGCAUACGAUCUAAGGAUGAAAGCGGGGGACCGAAAGGCCUCGCGCGAUUGGAGCGGCCGAUGGCAGAUUAGGUAGUUGGUGGGGUAAAGGCUCACCAAGCCGACGAUCUGUAGCUGGUCUGAGAGGACGACCAGCCACACUGGGACUGAGACACGGCCCAGACUCCUACGGGAGGCAGCAGUGGGGAAUUUUGGACAAUGGGCGCAAGCCUGAUCCAGCCAUUCCGCGUGCAGGAUGAAGGCCCUCGGGUUGUAACUGCUUUUGUACGGAACGAAAGGCUUCUUCUAAUACGGGAGCUCAUGACGGUACCGUAAGAAUAAGCACCGGCUAACUACGUGCCAGCAGCCGCA